AGCCCAAGCCCACAAUCUUCUCGUCUCCCUCCCCAAUUCCCAUUCCCACCCACACCCACAUCGCCGCCGCCGCCGCCGCCUUGGCCGGAAUGAAGGAUCUCCUCACCGCCGCCUUCCACCUCCCUCUCAUGCCUCCACCCCGUACGUCCACCCCAGAAAGGAAGGCCCCGGUAUAGGGCCCCGGGCGAGUUCCCUCGAGUCCAGACCGGCGCUUCCCCAACCUCCGCCCUCUUCCCCGCGAUUCCCCUCCCCACCCACAGCCGCAGCCGGCGGCAGCCUCCCCCACAUCCGGCGACCUCCUCUCCCACCGCACCCCCCUUCUUCCUCCUCCUCCGCUGCUGCUUGAAAACACCAUGGCGUCCACUCAAACUCUGCAGAUCAGACGAGAGGUGCGGGGACGAGUUGGGUUGGGAAGCACGAGCACCAUGGACGAUUUGGGUGAGGAGAGAUCAUGGCUGCAGCCACCUAGCUCCAACCACCGCCGGGACAGAGGAGGCCCCGGCGCCAUGGACAAGCAGCCGCGAUUUGAUCUGCUUCCCCUGCAACGUCGCCUAUCUCUACUCAAUUCAGGCAGCAGCAAUAGCACUCGAGAUGCAGGAAGAGCUCCUAGCUCGGGUAAGCACCCCCAUCCCCAUCCCCAUGCUCGUUUCAAUCUUUGGAGGCUUGCUGAUGGCGCUUCUCUUCUCCAUGCAUGGAGGAACCUCAACAAGCAACACCAAGUCAUCUCCAUGGAUGGCAUCCACAAGCGACCAAGAUGACGACCAGGAGCCCGACGACGGCGGCGCCGACUACAACCUCUCCGUCUCCGAGAUUUGCCUUGCAAGAUGGUUAGUCGAAGAGGAUGUCUUCAUACUAUGCCAGUUCAGCUUUUUUGUGUGCCCGACGAAUCUUAGCUGCAGCUGGCAAAAAAGCCAAUCAGCCCUAUCCAUCACCGGAGUCCCUCUCUUCCGGAUAGCAGAUAAAUUUGCCUUGCAAGAUGGCUCGUCGAAGAGAACGUCUUCAUACCUGCCAGUUCAGCUUCUUGUGUGUGUGGCGCGGUGACGAGUUGGGGUGGGGAAGCACCAACACCAUGGACGAUUUGGGCAUUGCUGCAUCCACCUAGCUCCAACCAGCGCCGGGACAGAGGAGACCCCGACGCUAUGGACAAGCAGCGGCGAUUUGAUCUACUUCAUCCUCCACCUCGACUCGAUUUCAUCUGUUUCCCCUGCUGCAACGUCGCCUACCUCAAUUCAAUUCAAUUCAGGCAGUAGCAAACAUCACUCGAGAUGCAGGACGAGCUCCUAGUUCGGGCAACAACAAGUCAUCUCCAUGGAUUUUGUCACUCCAGUUCCAUCACAUCUCCAUGGACGGCAUCCACAAACGACCAAGAUGACGACCAGGAGCCCGGCGACGGCGGCGACUACAACCUCUCCGUCUCCGAGAUUUGCCUUGCAAGAAGGUUAGUCGAAGAGGAUGUCUUCAUACUAUGCCAGUUUAGCUUUUUUGUGUGCCCGACGAAUCUCAGCUGCAGCUGGCAAAAAAACCAACCAACCCUAUCCAUCACCGGAGUCCCUCUCUUCCGGAUAGCAGAUAAAUUUGCCUUGCAAGAUGGCUCGUCGAAGAGAACGUCUUCAUACCUGCCAGUUCAGCUUCUUGUGUGUGUGGCGCGGGGACGAGUUGGGGUGGGGAAGCACCAACACCAUGGACGAUUUGGGCAUUGCUGCAGCCACCUAGCUCCAACCAGCGUCGGACAUAGGAGACCCCGACGCUAUGGACAAGCAGCGGCGAUUUGAUCUACUUCAUCCUCCACCUCGACUCGAUUUCAUCUGUUUCCCCUGCUGCAACGUCGCCUACCUCAAUUCAAUUCAAUUCAGGCAGUAGCAAACAUCACUCGAGAUGCAGGACGAGCUCCUAGCUCGGGCAACAACAAGUCAUCUCCAUGGAUUCUGUCACUCCAGUUCCAUCAUAUCUCCAUGGACGGCAUCCACAAACGACCAAGAUGACGACCAGGAGCCCGGCGACGGCGGCGACUACAACCACUCCGUCUCCGAGAUUUGCCUUGCAAGAUGACUAAUCGAAGAGGAUGUCUUAAUAUUUGACAGUUCAGCUUUUUUGUGUGUGCGACGAAUCUCAGCUGCAGCUGGCAGAAAAGCCAACCAGCCCUAUCCAUCUCUGGAACCCCUCUCUUCCGGAUAGCAGAUGAUUUUCCUUGCAAGAUGGCUCGUCAAAGAGAAUGCCUUCAUAUCCUGCCAGUUCAGCUUCUUGUGUGCAUGGCGAAUCUCAGCUCCAACUGGUAAAAAUACCAAUCAACCCUAUCCACUGCUGGAGCACCUCUUCCGGAUAGCAAAUGUCCUUGUCAAGGCCUCGAGCUGGCCGCAACCAAGCAUGGGCUACCUCUAGCUCGUCCUCUACUGCGCUUGUGCUCUUAUUUGUGUGGCGGGCGGCGACCGUGACGAAGGUGCUUGUGGUGGACGACCAAGCCUGCUCGCUUCAUCGGCGCUGCAUGUGGCUAACCAUAGCCGCCACCAGGGACGCCGGUGCUUGUGGUUGACGACGAAGCACCUUGUUGCGCGACCCACCAGCACUGCGCGUGGCUAACCAUAGCCGCCACUAGGGACGCCGGCGACGUCCUUGGCGAGGUGACGCCUCCGCUGCCAGUUUGGCUGGUGGCUGAGGUCUUGUCUCCACCUCAAAAUUACUGGGGGCGGCGUGGUUCAGCCUUGGCUACAACCAUCGAAGAAGUCAAUAAACGAGGGAGCGGAAACUCGGGCUUUGAAGUGUCUUCAUCAUGAAAUCAGAACUGUUGUUCCUUUGAUUGAAAUAGGCAAAAGGCUUGUCUUUUUGGCUGAGUGGGACUACCCAGCCAAGCCAUAUGUUUUCUUGCUCUGUUUCCUCUACGUAGUUCACAGAGGCUUGAUAUGGUACUUUUUCCCUGGCUUUCUUGCUGGCUCCACCAUUUUCAUGCUAUGGACCAAGCACCAUUUUCACUGUCGAGCAGCUCCUUGCUCUGCAGGAAGCCAUCUCGCAGCUUGAGAGGUGAUCGUUGCUGUGACGAAUGAGUCAUGUUCAUGUUGUUGUGAUGAAGCCUCCCUGCGUGGCUUCCCCUGCGCUUUCGCGGCUGUUCCAUCUCCGACUCCAGUGCAGGUCGAGCGAUUCCAUGUUGAGAUGGAUGGCCACACCCACAUAGCGAUGGAGUGGAAGAACCAGAACCUAGGUCCAAAGAUCAACCGCGGCGACGGCAGAGCGAUUGGGGGCGGUCGACGACGAACAAGCCUAGGAGGAGGUUUAUCACCAGGAGCUCAUGAAGUACCUUGAUUCCCCGUCUCUCAAUCAUUUCUCAAUCAUUGAUGUUGGCUCUCACUCCGGUGCCUCACGACAUAGCUUAGAUUUUCCAUGCAAGAUGACUCGUCGAAGAGGAUGUCUUCAUGUCCUGCCAAUUCAGCUCCUUGUUUGCGCGAUGAAUCCACCGCUGGAGCCCCUCUCUUCCAGAUAGCACAUGUGCCAGGAUCCUGGAGUUGACAAAACCAAGCCUAAGAGGAACUUGUUUGACAAAGCCAACAACCUUCUCACCAAUUUGCUUUCUAGCGGCAACCUCAAGAAUAUGCCGGUUUCCGAAGGAAACGAAGUAAUCGGGAGUGGUGGUAGCAAGCAGGAGAAGAAACCAUCACAAAUUUGCCGCCAUUUUUUGCACCUAUGGAUCAAAUGCUUCGAGAUGGCUGGGAAAGGAGCCUCCCCUCUGCGUGCUCCUGCUGUGCAACGACGUGGCCCUACUAUUUUGCGUCAGGAGAUGAGAGUACGUGUGGCUGCUCCGUGCUCCUCCGACCAUGCCCUGCUCAUGCCGCCGCCAUGGAGCCUGUCAAGGUAAGAGCACAAAGGGACCAGCGGCAGAGGCCUACUACAACUACAACGUUCACUUUCUGAAUUUGCUAUUCUUUGAUUUGAAUUGGGCUACUCCAUGGAGAAACUGAAUUCGCCAGUAUUCUGGGAAGCUCAGUUUGGUGAUUUCUCCAAUGGUGCACAAGUGAUAUUCGACCAGUUUCUGAGUAGUGUAGCGACCAAAUGGCUCCGCCAAACUGGCCUUGUUGGUCUACUGUCUCAUCGCUAUGAUGGCAAGGUCCUGAACACUCCAUCUCCCAUCUUGAGCGCUUCCUUCAGAAGGACCAGAGAGAGAAGGUGAAGAAAAAGGAAAAGCCCCUACUGUUCAUUUUUCCAUUGAGUUGAUUUCCUCGCUGUCCAUCAUCAUGGUUUCAGUUUAUCGAUUCUUGGCAUUGACAGUCUGGUUCCGUCGAGAUCGAUGAUGAAGAUGUCAGUGCCCAUGGAAGUGGCAAGCAGAUCACCAGGCAGAAGUUGAGGCGAUCAUCAGUUACUAGUAGUGGUAAUGAAGAAGCCAAGGCCAUGCAGCUGUUGGUGAUGGGCCCUGUCAGGAUGCCCACCAAGGUGCUCAACAUCAGCACCAGGAAGUCCCCCCUGUGGCGCAAGGAACCGUUUGCUAAAAAACCAGCCAGGUGGUCUCGCCUACAGAAACUACCACUCUCUUUGGUGUCUGGUGGUAGUAUAUCUUUUAGAAGACACAGAUAAGUCUUUUGUUUCUACAAAAACAACAGCAUCUGGUUAUGAAGCCCGUGAACUCGUCCGUGUGGGACUCCUGGGGUGCGAUGGUGUUGGCGGUGGUAUACGGCCUUGUCUACAACUGUGCUGGACAGUUUCUACGAGAUGCAAGCAUGAUUGUGCUUGUCGCCCAGGGCCAGGACGCCGACGUAUGGUGUGCACCAGGAAGUGAACUCGUGCGGCUCGAGGACAGAUUGUUGUGAUGAUCUAUCUGGGUAGUCUAGAAAAAUCCCAAUUUUGAGUGAAGAGUGGAUCCUCUUUGCUGCAAUCUUCAAUACUAGUUUCGAGGUUGCCUAACCAUGGUUCGAGGCUGAAGAAGCAAAUAGAUGAUCUGGAUGAGAAGAUGGCGGUGACUGACUCUUCUCCCGAGUCUUUGACGUCCAAGUAGAUCCAGGAUGGUGAGGACGGCGAGAAGAAAAGAUCUUUGCUGGAGAUGGUGCACCCACACCCAUCGGGCUAUUCUUCCGGAGGGCGAAGCGGGGCAAGAAGAGGGGUCAAUGGAGCUUGGAGCUCUAUGGGAAGUCUGGUGGUUUUGCUUUAUAUUUUGAUUUUUACAUGUGAAUGGGACGCUGUUCGCCUCAUUUUGCCGGGUGCUCAUGUUGUAUCCAACCGAUGUCUCUUUGAAAAGCAAUGUCAUGCUUCUCUAUGGUAGACGAGAGGUGCAUUUGGGAAGUCGCAAAAUCAUUGCUUUGUCAUGGCAUGGUCUGAGUUUCAAACAACGUGAUGUUUGGUUUUCGAAUGAGAACCAGAAUAUCAGUAUGAUCUUUUUUUUAUCCAA